rnacentral:rRNA from 1 species
UACGUAGGGUGCAAGCGUUGUCCGGAAUUAUUGGGCGUAAAGAGCUCGUAGGCGGUCUGUCGCGUCUGCUGUGAAAUCCCGGGGCUCAACCCCGGGCUUGCAGUGGAUACGGGCAGACUAGAGUUCGGUAGGGGAGACUGGAAUUCCUGGUGUAGCGGUGAAAUGCGCAGAUAUCAGGAGGAACACCGGUGGCGAAGGCGGAUCUCUGGGCCUUACCUGACGCUGAGGCGCGAAAGCUAGGGGAGCGAACAGG